rnacentral:rRNA from 1 species
GAUGAACGCUGGCGGCGUGCCUAAUACAUGCAAGUCGAGCGAACAGACGAGGAGCUUGCUCCUCUGACGUUAGCGGCGGACGGGUGAGUAACACGUGGAUAACCUACCUAUAAGACUGGGAUAACUUCGGGAAACCGGAGCUAAUACCGGAUAAUAUAUUGAACCGCAUGGUUCAAUAGUGAAAGACGGUUUUGCUGUCACUUAUAGAGGGAUCCGCGCCGCAUUAGCUAGUUGGUAAGGUAACGGCAUACCAAGGCAACGAUGCGUAGCCGACCUGAGAGGGUGGUCGACCACACUGGAACUGAGACACGGUCCAGACUCCUACGGGAGGCAGCAGUGGGGAAUCUUCCGCAAUGGGCGAAAGCCUGACGGAGCAACGCCGCGUGAGUGAUGAAGGUCUUCGGAUCGUAAAACUCUGUUAUUAGGGAAGAACAAAUGUGUAAGUAACUAUGCACGUCUUGACGGUACCUAAUCAGAAAGCCACGGCUAACUACGUG